rnacentral:rRNA from 1 species
CCCUUAGAUGUUCUGGGCAGCACGCGCGCUACAAUGGUCUUCGCAAACGGAUGCAUUCUCGAAGGAGAAUGCCAAUCUUGGAAUCUAUGCCUUGGUCGGGACAGUUGCUUGCAAUUUUUCGACUCGAACCAGGAAUUCCUUGUAAUCGUGAUUCAUCACAUCACGAUGAAUACGUCCCUGCCCUUUGUACACACCGCCCGUCGCUCCUACCGAUCGAAGAGUUAGGUGAAUUGUUUUGAUCGAUAAGAUUUUACUAUGGUCAACUCUCGUUGUGAAAUUCUGUGAAUCUGACUGUUUAGAGGAAGGAAAAGUCGUAACA